rnacentral:lncRNA from 1 species
AGAGGUCAAGAGAGAUUCCCAUCACUUGGAAAGAGGGAGAGAGGGCUUUCGAGCCCUUCUUGUUUCGUUUCGAAUAGUGAUCCCCUAUUUGGAAACAAUUCGAAACAUGGGAUCCUUUAUUAUUUCUACCAUUUUUGAACUAAAGUUGGUAGAUAGUUUGUCAACUUGCUACAAUGAAGUCGGCAGAUGGUUUGUUAAUUUUAGUUCAAAAACAGCAAAAAAAAAAUAACAAUUCACCUUUGGAACAGCAUGAUACGGAUCCGUACUGUACUGUUCUAGCAACUGACCGAUACAGGUCCUGAUAUUAGUUCAACAAAACUUGCUUAGAACUUCUUGCUUGUGUUGAAAUCUGAAGUCAUAUCUUGUCUUUAGUUUGGUGUGAGGAUCCCCUUUUGAUAGCUCCCUCAAGUAUCUUUAAAGAAACUCCCUGGUAGCUUUGUUCAUGCAUACUAACUUUGGGUAGUUAAUUCUAGCAAUAACUACCCCUUAAUGGUGGUUUCUGUAUAUGAUAUCCUGGUAGUUAUCCUCAUCUAAUUUUUUUAGGCUGUGCUUUUCAAGAGAAACGUCUUAUAUGUAGCUUUAUUUGCAUCAAUGCCUCUUGUCAGUCUCUAAAAUGCGAUGUGACUGCUAGGUCAUCUAGACAAUCACUCAUAAAACCGUUUUUUAUUUCCUUUUUUCUUGUUAGUUAUC